rnacentral:rRNA from 1 species
UGGCUGUCGUCAGCUCGUGUCAAGAGAUGUUCGGUUAAGUCCGGCAACGAGCGCAACCCACAUCUUUAGUUGCCAGCAGUUCGGCUGGGCAGNUCUAAAGAAACUGCCCGUGAUAAGCGGGAGGAAGGUGUGGAUGACGUCAAGUCCUCAUGGCCCUUACGGGUUGGGCUACACACGUGCUACAAUGGUAGUGACAAUGGGUUAAUCCCAAAAAGCUAUCUCAGUUCGGAUUGGGGUCUGCAACUCGACCCCAUGAAGUCGGAAUCGCUAAUGUAAUCGCGUAACAGCAUGACGCGGUGA